GUGAACGCUGGCGGUAGGCCUAACACAUGCAAGUCGCACGGCAGCACAGUAAGAGCUUGCUCUUACGGGUGGCGAGUGGCGGACGGGUGAGGAAUACAUCGGAAUCUACUUUUUCGUGGGGGAUAACGUAGGGAAACUUACGCUAAUACCGCAUACGACCUACGGGUGAAAGCAGGGGAUCUUCGGACCUUGCGCGAUUGAAUGAGCCGAUGUCGGAUUAGCUAGUUGGCGGGGUAAAGGCCCACCAAGGCGACGAUCCGUAGCUGGUCUGAGAGGAUGAUCAGCCACACUGGAACUGAGACACGGUCCAGACUCCUACGGGAGGCAGCAGUGGGGAAUAUUGGACAAUGGGCGCAAGCCUGAUCCAGCCAUACCGCGUGGGUGAAGAAGGCCUUCGGGUUGUAAAGCCCCUUUGUUGGGAAAGAAAAGCAGCAGGUUAAUACCCCGCUGUUCUGACGGUACCCAAAGAAUAAGCACCGGCUAACUUCGUG
rnacentral:rRNA from 1 species